CCAACACCAGGCACGACAAGUUGACCUUUUACCCUUGAACAUUUCAUGGUCAGAAAGUCAACUUGCCGUUUGCCUGUUGUGCA